rnacentral:rRNA from 1 species
GACGAACGCUGGCGGCGUGCUUAACACAUGCAAGUCGAACGGAAAGGCCCUGCUGUUGUGGGGUGCUCGAGGGGCGAACGGGUGAGUAACACGUGAGUAACCUGCCCUUGACGUUGGGAUAACUUCAGGAAACUGGGGCUAAUACCGGAUAGGAGCUCCUGCUGCAGGGUGGGGGUUGGAAAGUUUCGGCGGUUGGGGCUGGACUCGCGGCUUAUCAGCUUGGGGGUGGGGUAGUGGCUUACCAAGGCUUUGACGGGUAGCCCGCCUGAGAGGGUGACCGGCCACAUUGGGCCUGCGAGACGGCCCAGACUGCUACGGGAGGCAGUAGUGGGGAAUAUUGCACAGUGGGCGGAAGCCUGAUGCAGCAACGCCGCGUGCGGGAUGACGGCCUUCGGGUUGUAAACCGCUUUCGCCUGUGACGAAGCGUGAGUGACGGUAAUGGGUAAAGAAGCACCGGCUAACUACGUG